GGAUGUGAGGAUGAUCUGGACGCACUGUCUGCCCACUGAUCGCCAGGGUUGACGCGGCUGAUCAGGGGGGUGUCCCCUUCCUUCCUCACCGCUCCACUCCCUCCUGAAGCUUCAAGCUCUGUGGAGGAGGACAGCCACCCCUGACAGAGGAAGACCGUUUCCUCUGUCAACGGGAUAACUGUGCUCUCCUGCUGGAACCUCCAAACAAGCUCUCAGGAGGGAUGGAUUGUGAUGGUCGGUUUAAAUGUCAACUCUGGGUAAAGCUUCAGUCUGGAUGUUGCU
rnacentral:snRNA from 1 species